rnacentral:lncRNA from 10 species
AUUUGGUUCUAAUAUUCAAAAGUAAUAUUGGAAUUGGUGAAACUUUUAUGUAGCUGUGACAUUGGAGACAUCUUUCGUCCAGGUGCUUAUCACAUUUAUUGUCCUCAUUCUGAGUAAUUUGCUGGUUUUUCUAUGUUUCAGAAGGUCCUAUAUCCAAUACCAAACUUCUUCAGAAUAAUCACUUUAUGUCUUAGUCUCUUUCUUUUCUAUUGUCCAACAUUCAAGUUUUUUGCUCAUUAUCAGUAUUUUUGUAACUUCAUAUUUUGCUACUCUUAACUGGAAACUAGGUGCUUCAAGUUUUUGGAUUGUGAUGGGGAAGUACAUUAAUAAAAACAAAUCAACUACUGUGGAAGUGCAUGUCUUGAUAAAUAUAAUUUAUGGAGGUUUGCUUUUCAGUAAUAACAUCUUGUAAAAUGGCUUUUGUCUUAACCACUUCUUUGGGAACAGCUUCUCCCUCUCACUUCUAUGUUAUGUCAGUGGAAUAGAUUUAAUAGAUUAUCUUGGCUUUAUAAGAAAGAACACAGCAUCCUGCAAAAGCACCUCAUUCCCUCAAAGAAAACUAGAUUGAAGUCAUGAAUUUCCUAUUACUUUGUGUGUCAAAUUCUCAGAUAUCCCCUUGGCUUUAAUGCUGCCUGAUGUUCCUGAUGAGAUGGCAGCACAGAGAAUCCCAGGAUUAUUAGAAAAAACUGUGCUUGCCUAUAAAGAGAGACAUUUAUGUUUUUAACUCUCAAUCUUUCCCAAUCCUCAAUAUAAGCCAACUCUUAUAUAAGCCAACCAAAUAGAUAUUGGGUUGUUGAAUAUAUAUUGGAGUGUUACUGCUAUUUUUAAGGGUGUUGUCAUCCCUACAACUGGUAACAAGAGUGCAAAAAUAAUAUUUCAAUCAAAGCAAUGCUAUCAAAUUUUAUGAAGUAUCACUUUUUGGUCAUGAAAAUAAACUUUUUUAUAUGACUCUGAAUGAAAGUAAGAAUUCUUUUCACUACAGAGCUGAUUUUAUAUGAGUUUAAAUCUGUUCUUUGUUUUUUCUAAUCUCUUGCUUUAAAACACACUAACUAAUGAGUUGACCAAGCUCUACUGGCCAUUAUAUCUACUUGCAAACUAGCAAAUUCAGUUUUCAACAUAACAACACAAAGUAAAAUGAAGUGGAAUGCUGUGAUUUUAAGGGGGCUUUGCCCUCCUUUGUUCUGUGAACUUUGCCAGCUUUCACAUCAUAGCAGUCUCACAGCCCUUUGUUCAAACUCACAACAUUGAAUGUAAAGAAUGGCUUUACAUUGUCAUUUUCUUACUGGAGAAAUCCAAAUGCAUCAAGAAAAAUGCUCACAAGGCUUGGAACAAAAAGAGGUAUUUAUUUUACAUGUGCCCUAGUUCUGUGUAACUCAGCAUCAUGACAAAUGCAUUGGGAUUGCAAUUGAGAGUUGAAGUUCUCUUCACCUCCUGUGAAUCAUCAAGCCCAAACGUAUGGCCCAACGUGAUAACCCUUUUAAAUAUUAGGUACUGAUACUGGGGAACAUUGAUGAUUACCACCAUCUCAUACACUUGAAUAAAGACAGACCUGAGAGAGAUAUUGCAGACUUAGGCUGUUUGCUCUAUCAGAUGUCUAUUAGUCAAUCUUUCCACUUACACACCUGGCUAUGGUUUCUCUAAUUUAUCCCACUGUGGAUAAGAAAUACAAAUUAUUUCAGGGAAGCCAGUUUGACAGAGUUGAGAGAGCACUGGAUGAACUUGGGAAGGUGGCGUGGCUCAGCGGUCAUAAGCGUAAGUGGGGAAGUCCAGCCGAUUUGGAUCUGAAUCCAAGGUAGUUUGGUCACUUCUUGGCAGUUUGAUCUUGAAUAAAUUAUUAGCUUCUUCAUCUUUCCAUUUUCUCAUUUUUCUGAUAGAGCUGUGCUCUAGAGCAGCAUUGGUCAACAGACAUUCUACAGUGAUGGAAAUCUGUAUCUUGAUGC